GGAUAUAUGACUGAAACGGUAAGGUAGAAGUUUGCUAAACUUUGGGAAAAUUGUUCCCUGUUGGUUCGAUUCCAACUAUAUCCU